CUAACUCAAAUUUGUACGCAAUUGGAAUAGCGCCCCUAGCGGCAAACGCAGGUAAACGUUCCAACACCAUACAAAUUUGAGUUA
rnacentral:pre_miRNA from 1 species